GCCUAGUUAGCUUGGUUGGUAAGCGCGUCUGCCUUGUAAGCGCUAGAUCGCGGGUUGGAUUCCCGCCCGGGGCG
rnacentral:tRNA from 1 species